AAUUUUUAUGCGAUCAACACUCACAAACAAGUUGAGAUCGUCAGUACUUCAAAUCAAUCUUUCAGUUAAUUCUUUAAAAAAUGAACUCCAAAUUUAUGUUAGUAAUUUUAUUAUUCGCAAUUUGGUCAUUUUUCAACUUGAGUCCUAUCACUGGUUUAGAAUUGAAAAGAGUGAGAGCUAUGACGGUUAAAGCUGGAGGCGCGGCUGUAGGAACACGUAGUGGCACAUUCGUGAAAACUUGACUAAGUAGACCUUUAGAUUAUCCAGAAAUCCGAGGGAGACUCAAACAAAAUAAUCACCCAUGGAAACCGGAAACGAAAUCCCGAAUACUUUAACGAUAAAAUUUGAACUUAAUUAUUAUAAAAAUAUUAUUAUUGUUAAUUUUAUUGCAUGUCGGAAUAAACUUUAAGCAAAUA